AUUGAACGCUGGCGGCAGGCCUAACACAUGCUAGUCGAGCGAGCGGCGGACGGGUGAGUAAUCUACCGGAACGUGCCCAGUAGCGGGGGAUAACUACUCGAAAGAGUGUCUAAUUCCGCCUACUAUUGGAGCGGCCUAUAUCGGAUUGGCUAGUUGGUGGGGUAAAGGCUCACCAAGGCAACGUUCCGUAGCUGGUUUGCGAGGACGACCAGCCACACUGGGACUGAGACACGGCCCAGACUCCUACGGGAGGCAGCAGUGGGGAAUUUUGGACGAUGGGGGAAAACCUGAUCCAGCCAUCGCGCGUGUAUGAGAAGGCCUUCGGGUUGUAAAGUACUUUUGGCAGAGAAGCGGUAUCUGCAGAAUAAGCACCGGCUAACGACGUGCCAGCAGCCGGGGUAAUUC
rnacentral:rRNA from 1 species